rnacentral:rRNA from 1 species
UGAGGAACAUGACCUUCGGCGGGGGAUAGCCGGCCCAACGGCCGGGUAAUACCGCGUACGACCACUCGGGGACAUCCCCGAUUGGUGAAAGCAGCAAUGCGCCGAAAGAGUGCCUCGCGGCCUAUCAGCUAGUUGGUGGGGUAAUGGCUCACCAAGGCGACGACGGGUAGCUGGUCUGAGAGGAUGGCCAGCCACAUUGGGACUGAGACACGGCCCAGACUCCUACGGGAGGNAGCG